rnacentral:tRNA from 1 species
GCCCGAGUGGCGGAAUGGUAGACGCAGGGGAUUCAAAAUCCCCCGCCUUCACGGGCGUGCGAGUUCGAGUCUCGCCUCGGGCACCA